rnacentral:rRNA from 1 species
UACGGAAGGGGCAAGCGUUGUUCGGAAUUAUUGGGCGUAAAGGGCGCGUAGGCGGCGAUCCAAGUUAGGCGUGAAAGCCCCGGGCUUAACCUGGGAAUUGCGCUUAAGACUGGACUGCUUGAGUGCGGGAGAGGUGAGUGGAAUUCCCAGUGCAGAGGUGAAAUUCGUAGAUAUUGGGAAGAACACCAGUGGCGAAGGCGGCUCACUGGCCCGCAACUGACGCUGAGGCGCGAAAGCGUGGGGAGCAAACAGG